rnacentral:rRNA from 1 species
UACAGAGGAUGCAAGCGUUAUCCGGAAUGAUUGGGCGUAAAGCGUCUGUAGGUGGCUUUUUAAGUCCGCCGUCAAAUCCCAGGGCUCAACUCUGGAUAGGCGGUGGAAACUACCAAGCUGGAGUACGGUAGGGGCAGAGGGAAUUUCCGGUGGAGCGGUGAAAUGCGUAGAGAUCGGAAAGAACACCGGUGGCGAAGGCGGCUCACUGGCUCGUAACUGACGCUCAUGCACGACAGCGUGGGGAUCAAACAGG